GCUGAGCUCAGUAACGAGAGCUUGUGACUCAAGUGAGGGCAAAUAUGUAGUUGGGACUUUGGUUCGGUACAAGGGGUCGGGUUCAGGCUGGGUUUUCACUGACUCGCCCAAUCCAAGCCAGGAGCUGUGCUACGUGGUUUGAGCGAAGGUUCGGAUCUCGUGGCUCUUAAAGUGGAGGGUAUUGCGUGAGGCUGGUUUCACAGAGCAGCGAAUACCUCCCGCUUCCGGCAGUGUAUGGUUAACGAGUCGGAUCCGCUUGGGCCCAAUAUGAUUUCAUGGGCCGAUCUCAAUUGGACCAAUUAUUUU
rnacentral:SRP_RNA from 1 species